rnacentral:rRNA from 1 species
GACGAACGCUGGCGGCGUGCUUAACACAUGCAAGUCGAACGGAAAGGCCCUGCUUUUGUGGGGUGCUCGAGUGGCGAACGGGUGAGUAACACGUGAGUAACCUGCCCUUGACUUUGGGAUAACUUCAGGAAACUGGGGCUAAUACCGGAUAGGAGCUCCUGCUGCAUGGUGGGGGUUGGAAAGUUUCGGCGGUUGGGGAUGGACUCGCGGCUUAUCAGCUUGUUGGUGGGGUAGUGGCUUACCAAGGCUUUGACGGGUAGCCGGCCUGAGAGGGUGACCGGCACCAUUGGGACUGAGAUACGGCCCAGACUCCUCCGGGAGGCAGCGGGGGGGAAUCUUGCACAAUGGGCGGAAGCCUAAUGCAGCACCGCCGGGUGCGGGAUGCCGGCCUUCGGUUUGUAAACCGCUUUCGCCUGUGACGAAGCGUGAGUGGCGGUAAUGGGUAAAGAAGCCCCGGCUAACUACGUC